AUGACAUUUAGUUCAGGGGGCGUGGUCCAGCCGUCGGGAUUGGCGACUCCAGCCGUCGUCUCGCACAACUCCGUCCAGUCCAGCGGCAGCAAUGGCGCGGCGGAUUCAUGCACGACAUUCAGUUCUGGAGGCAUGGUCCUGACGUCGGCAUGGGUCGGCGACGGGACGCCGGACGUCGUCUCGAGCUGCGCCGUGCAGUCCGCACGUCACAGCGGCCCAGCUUCGGCGAACACCACCAUCCGCGUAGGCUGGAAGCGCAGGCCAAGAGGUCCUAGUGCUCCAGACGAGAGGGCUGUAGUAGCUGAUCGUGUGCCGCCACUGGAAGCUGCUAUUCGAGGGUUCGCAGAUAGGGGGACUGAGGUGGUCGUGAACCCGGUGCUUGGCACUAUUUUUGAUUCGCUGGCAGAGGCGUAUGAAUUCUACAAUCUAUAUUCAUGGGAGGUUGGCUUUGGGAUUCGCUACGGCAAGAGCAGUCAAAAUGUCAAUGGGACGAAGUGUAUGCAAGAGAUUGUGUGCGGCUACGCUCCACAACCAUGA
rnacentral:rRNA from 1 species